ACCCACCACCCAAACAGUCCUGCUUUUUUAUUUUCUUUAUUUUUUUUUGGGUUUUUUGUUUAAUUUAUUGGGAGUAUUGUAGAGCUUUUACAGUGCCCCGCGACCAAAACAAGUUUCUAGCCGACCUGGACAGUUUUCUUGUAUACUUGUGUUCCGAUUCCGAAAGCUUGCAAGUCGUCCCAAGAAGUAGGGCACCGGGGGAAAAAGGUAAUGCUCAUUUAUAGUUGUGUGUAUCUGUUCUACUGAUGGGUUCUUAUAUCUUUAUGCAUAUGGUAGUGUAAUUUAUUUGAUUUUGCUUCUUGACUAGUUGUGUGCUUAUUCUUUAAUUUGCUUGUGUGGUUUCCAUCUCAGUUGAUUGGUAGAUCAAACUCAAACAUUCUAAAGUUUUAAUCUUUGAGGUUCAUAAAAAUUUGCUACAGUUCCUUGGAUCAUUAUGUUGUAUGUGUCAAAAUUUGGCAAUGUGAUCUCCAUGUGUGGAAACUAGUGCUCUCUACAUAUGUGAAUUUUAGUUAGAGUAAUGGAGAUUUUACGCAGUAUUUAUUUUCUUUCUUAACUAAAAGAAAGAUUUUGUACAUGAAUCGGCUAGAAAAUCAGGCAGAUGCUGAGGAAGAAGAUUGGAUGGCAAAAUGGGAUCGAAGAAGAAGAAUGGCUGUCAUCCAAGUUCUUUAUCAUUUUGCAUAUGCCUUAUACUUGCAUCAGGCAUACUAUAGAUACCAUAAUCAGUCUGCAAAAUCUUUGAAAGGAAAGAAACGCAAUGCUCCAAUUGAUUAGUUAUGUAAGAGAGAGUUUGAGAACAUAACUGAAGACAUUAAUAGAGCAUGCGUUUAUUCAGAGGAAGAAGUUUUUGCAGAAUUGGUGAAUCUAGGUGUUGAUAAGAAAUUACACCAUAGAGCUUUUACCUUUCUCAUUCAAAAUAAUUUGAGGGUGAGGGCGUUCUUUGGUUGCCCAAUUGAGGAGCGCAAAAAUUUUCUGGUGCAACCAGUGUAUGGUUCAGACAAUCCUCAAUAUGAUGUAUAUUGGUAGGGCAUUAUGGGGCCUCUUUUUGUAGUAUUUGGAUGUUUCUUUGCCAUACACAUUUUGUACUUUGUUUUCCUUUUUCUUUUACUUUUUGCUGAGGGUUUGGGGGCAUGUAGGACUUCAACUGGAAUUCUAAAGGAACACUUAGUUUUAUUUGAUUUUAACAAUUAAAGUUACCGUUCUAUUUAUAGAUACAUAAUUGAUGGUUUCGUUCUCGUGUGUUAUUUUGUGUGUUUCUUUCUUUCUGAACUAUGAGCAAUGAGAAUUUUAUGACUCAGGAACUCACUGCAAAGGUCAUAGGAAUGCAAUUCAAAUGCUUGACACCCAUUUCACUUUUCUGGAAUUUCAAGACGCCCAAUGAAGUGAUCAGUUAGCCACUUAUUUAUAAUGAUCAAAAUUAAUGGAGACACCAUGUAAAAUCAGCUCCAUUGUAUGUUCAGCUAAAGAGUAUGUGGGUUCUCCACAAUAGGGGCUACAGAUAUGGGUUGCUUUCUUGCUCGCUUUUGGGAUGCAAGUUUCUUCUUCAUCAUCAUCUAAAUCUAUUUUACAGUUUGCAGGGGAAAAGAAAAAAACUCUCAUUAUUUGACUAAACUCUCACUUCAAAGACACUGGAGAUUGGUAUGAACACGAAGCUAUUCCAAAAAAUGAUUACCAAGAGGUACGUAUUUAGAUGGUUGAAUAUGCAAGUCCUUUCUGUGCUGAUGUUGCUCAUAUUACAAGAAAUGAGUGUAUUCAUUGAAAGCUCAAAUCCAUGGACCCUCCAUUUAAUAAUAUCAGUACAAUCAGACUGCAAAUAGCCAAAAACCAUAAUAUGGACAUGGCGGGUACGUUAUGUUGCCGGUAGUGUGCGAUUUUGUCCCCAGACAAGUGGCAUGUGAUAUAUAUAUAUAUAUAUAUAUAUAACCUCCCCUUCGUCGGAAUCCAUAGUGGUUAGAAUUUAACACCAGAACCAGACUAUUUUCACGUGUACUUUUAUUUUAUUUUAUUUCUCAUUGGCCGGAGCAAUUCCUUUUUAUGAAUUCUUAUUUUAUAUUUUAUUUGUUCCUUUUCUCAGGCUA